CUUCAAUUGCCCCCCAGAUCCCCACCUAGACAUUCCACGCACACAGAACAAAGGGACAAAAAGGGCAUCACUAGUGCUGGGGCGACACUUAACUCGCUUACUAUUUGAACUAUUAUACAACUCAUGGUGCUGUCUUUACCCAGGAACCAAAGAUUACACGUAUUACUCCCCAGUGCACAUGACACAUUCUAGGAUUGACCUAUGCAUCACAGACAAAGCCACUCUAUCGCACGUUACGAAUGUCGCGAUUGGCCCCAUCACAUGGUCCGACCAUGCGCCGCUUACGGUAACCCUCCGGGUCCUGUAUCCAGCCUGUGGC